rnacentral:rRNA from 1 species
UACGUAGGGCGCAAGCGUUGUCCGGAAUUAUUGGGCGUAAAGAGCUCGUAGGCGGCCUGUUACGUCUGCUGUGAAAUCCCGGGGCUUAACCCCGGGCGUGCAGUGGAUACGGGCAGGCUGGAGGCAGGCAGGGGAGAACGGAAUUCCCGGUGUAGCGGUGAAAUGCGCAGAUAUCAGGAGGAACACCGGUGGCGAAGGCGGGUCUCUGGGCCAAAACUGACGCUGAGGAGCGAAAGCGUGGGGAGCGAACAGG